GGUUAAGCGACUAAGCGUACACGGUGGAUGCCCUGGCAGUCAGAGGCGAUGAAGGACGUGCUAAUCUGCGAAAAGCGUCGGUAAGGUGAUAUGAACCGUUAUAGCCGGCGAUGUCCGAAUGGGGAAACCCAGUGCAAUUCGUUGCACUAUCGUUAACUGAAUACAUAGGUUAACGAGGCGAACCGGGGGAACUGAAACAUCUAAGUACCCCGAGGAAAAGAAAUCAACCGAGAUUCCCCCAGUAGCGGCGAGCGAACGGGGAGCAGCCCGGAGUCUGAAUCAGCUUGUGUGUUAGUGGAAGCGUCUGGAAAGUCGCAGGGUACAGGGUGAUACUCCCGUACACUAAAACACACAGGUUGUGAACUCGAAGAGUAGGGCGGGACACGUGGUAUCCUGUCUGAAUAUGGGGGGACCAUCCUCCAAGGCUAAAUACUCCUGACUGACCGAUAGUGAACCAGUACCGUGAGGGAAAGGCGAAAAGAACCCCGGCGAGGGGAGUGAAAAAGAACCUGAAACCGUGUACGUACAAGCAGUAGGAGCCCACUAGUUGGGUGACUGCGUACCUUUUGUAUAAUGGGUCAGCGACUUAUAUUCUGUAGCAAGGUUAACCGUAUAGGGGAGCCGCAGGGAAACCGAGUCUUAACUGGGCGUUAAGUUGCAGGGUAUAGACCCGAAACCCGGUGAUCUAGCCAUGGGCAGGUUGAAGGUUGGGUAACACUAACUGGAGGACCGAACCGACUAAUGUUGAAAAAUUAGCGGAUGACUUGUGGCUGGGGGUGAAAGGCCAAUCAAACCGGGAGAUAGCUGGUUCUCCCCGAAAGCUAUUUAGGUAGCGCCUCGUGAAUUCAUCUUCGGGGGUAGAGCACUGUUUCGGCUAGGGGGUCAUCCCGACUUACCAACCCGAUGCAAACUACGAAUACCGAAGAAUGUUAUCACGGGAGACACACGGCGGGUGCUAACGUCCGUCGUGAAGAGGGAAACAACCCAGACCGCCAGCUAAGGUCCCAAAGUCAUGGUUAAGUGGGAAACGAUGUGGGAAGGCCCAGACAGCCAGGAUGUUGGCUUAGAAGCAGCCAUCAUUUAAAGAAAGCGUAAUAGCUCACUGGUCGAGUCGGCCUGCGCGGAAGAUGUAACGGGGCUAAACCAUGCACCGAAGCUGCGGCAGCGACACUAUGUGUUGUUGGGUAGGGGAGCGUUCUGUAAGCCGUUGAAGGUGGCCUGUGAGGGUUGCUGGAGGUAUCAGAAGUGCGAAUGCUGACAUAAGUAACGAUAAUGCGGGUGAAAAACCCGCACGCCGGAAGACCAAGGGUUCCUGUCCAACGUUAAUCGGGGCAGGGUGAGUCGACCCCUAAGGCGAGGCCGAAAGGCGUAGUCGAUGGGAAACAGGUUAAUAUUCCUGUACUCGGUGUUACUGCGAAGGGGGGACGGAGAAGGCUAUGUUGGCCGGGCGACGGUUGUCCCGGUUUAAGCAUGUAGGCGGAUGUUCCAGGUAAAUCCGGAACGUUACUAACGCUGAGGUGUGAUGACGAGGCACUACGGUGCUGAAGUGACAAAUGCCCUGCUUCCAGGAAAAGCCUCUAAGCAUCAGGUAACAUCAAAUCGUACCCCAAACCGACACAGGUGGUCAGGUAGAGAAUACCAAGGCGCUUGAGAGAACUCGGGUGAAGGAACUAGGCAAAAUGGUGCCGUAACUUCGGGAGAAGGCACGCUGAUGGUAGGUGAAGUGACUUGCUCAUGGAGCUGAAAUCAGUCGAAGAUACCAGCUGGCUGCAACUGUUUAUUAAAAACACAGCACUGUGCAAACACGAAAGUGGACGUAUACGGUGUGACGCCUGCCCGGUGCCGGAAGGUUAAUUGAUGGGGUUAUCCGUAAGGAGAAGCUCUUGAUCGAAGCCCCGGUAAACGGCGGCCGUAACUAUAACGGUCCUAAGGUAGCGAAAUUCCUUGUCGGGUAAGUUCCGACCUGCACGAAUGGCGUAAUGAUGGCCAGGCUGUCUCCACCCGAGACUCAGUGAAAUUGAACUCGCUGUGAAGAUGCAGUGUACCCGCGGCAAGACGGAAAGACCCCGUGAACCUUUACUAUAGCUUGACACUGAACACUGGUCCUUGAUGUGUAGGAUAGGUGGGAGGCUUUGAAGUGUGGACGCCAGUCUGCAUGGAGCCAUCCUUGAAAUACCACCCUUUAAUGGCUGGUGUUCUAACGUGGGCCCGUAAUCCGGGUUGCGGACAGUGUCUGGUGGGUAGUUUGACUGGGGCGGUCUCCUCCUAAAGAGUAACGGAGGAGCACGAAGGUCAGCUAAUCCUGGUCGGACAUCAGGAGGUUAGUGCAAUGGCAUAAGCUGGCUUGACUGCGAGCGUGACGGCGCGAGCAGGUGCGAAAGCAGGUCAUAGUGAUCCGGUGGUUCUGAAUGGAAGGGCCAUCGCUCAACGGAUAAAAGGUACUCCGGGGAUAACAGGCUGAUACCGCCCAAGAGUUCAUAUCGACGGCGGUGUUUGGCACCUCGAUGUCGGCUCAUCACAUCCUGGGGCUGAAGUAGGUCCCAAGGGUAUGGCUGUUCGCCAUUUAAAGUGGUACGCGAGCUGGGUUUAGAACGUCGUGAGACAGUUCGGUCCCUAUCUGCCGUGGGCGCUGGAGAAUUGAGGGGGGCUGCUCCUAGUACGAGAGGACCGGAGUGGACGCAUCACUGGUGUUCGGGUUGUCAUGCCAAUGGCAUUGCCCGGUAGCUAAAUGCGGAAGAGAUAAGUGCUGAAAGCAUCUAAGCACGAAACUUGCCCCGAGAUGAGUUCUCCCUGACCCUUUAAGGGUCCUGAAGGAACGUUGAAGACGACGACGUUGAUAGGCCGGGUGUGUAAGCGCAGCGAUGCGUUGAGCUAACCGGUACUAAUGAACCGUGAGGCUUAACCUU
rnacentral:rRNA from 1 species